AUAAAUUCUAUUUACGUACAGAAAUAUCGAGGGAAUUGUAAUGAAGUUUGAGAUGUUAUAACCUACUUAAUUGUGAUAUACAUGAACCGGUCAAUGUGGAUACGGUAAUCAGAUCCAAUAAUUUCGGACCGCAGAAUGUGUACAAAAACCUGAGAAACGAAUCCAAGACCUCCAGAUAGCGAACGGGCAUAUAUUGUCACCACUACAUCACGGAGGUGGAUAUUUCGGACCGCGCUAAAUCCGUCUCUUGAAGUGGGUAGGUCGGGCAAAGAGCAGAUGAAAAACUUCCUUCUCUCUAUAAUUUUAAUGAUAUUUAAUUUUUUUUAAAAUGUUGAUUUAGGCUGUGUUUUCCAAUAUCUAAAUAUACAACAUGUCUACUUUAGUCGCUUUAAA